rnacentral:lncRNA from 1 species
GGCGCAUGGAUAUUAUUUUUGCGCUAUUACGCCGUUGAAUUCGGUGGAUUCCAUCCUACUAAAGGUAAAUAUUUAAAAGCAUUGUCCUACUUCCUCUCUGUGUAAGUCUUGAAUUUGUUUUAAAGAAUACUUGAUUAUUUUAUUUCUACAUUGUAUGAAUUUUAUUUAACUAUUUAAUGCAAGCUGAAAGCUGAUGUUAUUAUUUGUCAUCGUGUCUCUCCGUACUUGCUAUGCAUCGUGUAAACCCCCAAACAUUAUACUCGAUCAGGGCCAUUGCAAUAUCAAUCGGGAC